CGGGAAGUAGCUCAGCUUGGUAGCGCACUUGGUUUGGUACCAAGGGGUCGCAGGUUCGAAUCCUGUCUUCCCGA
rnacentral:tRNA from 1 species